AACGUAGGUGGCAAGCGUUAUCCGGAUUUACUGGGCGUAAAGCGUGUGCAGACGGGGCUUCAAGUGGUGUAUGAAAUCGCUCGGCUCAACCGGGCGCGGGUAUGCCAGACUGGAGUGCUAGAGGGUGCGAGAGGGACGUGGAAUUCCGGGUGUAGUGGUGGAAUGCGUAGAGAUCCGGAGGAACCCCUGAGGCGAAGGCAGGUCUCUGGGCCACUACUGACGCUGAGAAGCGAAAGCAUGGGGAGCGAACAGG
rnacentral:rRNA from 1 species